UACAGAGGUCCCAAGCGUUGUUCGGAUUCACUGGGCGUAAAGGGUGCGUAGGUGGCUGGGAAAGUUUGAUGUGAAAGCUCGGAGCUUAACUCCGAAAUGGCAUUGAAUACUUCCUAGCUUGAGGGUCGGAGGGGAGACUGGAAUUCCCGGUGUAGUGGUGAAAUGCGUAGAUAUCGGGAGGAACACCAGUGGCGAAGGCGGCUUCCUGGCCUGUUCUUGACGCUGAGGCGCGAAAGCUAGGGGAGCAAACGGG
rnacentral:rRNA from 1 species